CACACACCCACUUUGGUUUCCAGAAACACAAAGUUUCUGAAUUCUUUCCUCUGAAUUCCCUCCAUUCAUUGCAGGAAGCUAAAAUGAUCCCAUGGCUGAAUUUGGUGCCCUUGUUAGUGUUCCUUCAAGGAGUGCAAUCUCAAGUACAAUUGGUGGAGUCUGGAGGGGAUGUGAGAAGACCUGGAGGGUCCCUCCGUCUCUCCUGCCAAGCCUCUGGAUUCACCUUCAGCAGCUACUGGAUGCACUGGGUGAGACAGGCUCCAGGGAAAGGCCUGGAAUGGGUGGCCUACAUACCCGCUCCUCGUUCGCGGGGCGGCUCUACAGGCGGCGGGGCUGGCGUCAAGGGACGCUUCACCAUCUCCAGGGAUGAUGCCAAAAGCCAGCUGUAUCUGCAAAUGAAUAGCCUCAAACUGGAAGAUACUGCAAUUUAUUUCUGUACAAGAGACACAGUGAGAGGAAGUGAAUCUGAUGCCAAGCAAAAACCUUCUCUUCCUCUGAGCAGCUUUCCAAAUUGAAUGAGAAAGUUGAAUCUGUGUAUUUAAAGUGAGAAGAGGAACAUAAAUCUCCAUAUACAAUUUGGAACCUCAGAUCUGACCUUCUAAGAAGCAGUGUGGAAGAUGGUUGACAUUUUGAUAGGUGAGAAGAAGGAACUCUCCAGGCUGUGGAACAAACUGGGUAG